GUGCCUAACACAUGCAAGUCGAACGAGAAAGUGGAGCAAUCCAUGAGUACAGUGGCGACCGGGUGAGUAACACGUGACUACCUACCCUUGAGUGGGGGAUAACCCCGGGAAACCGGGGCUAAUACCGCAUAACAUCGAGAGAUCAAAGGAGCAAUCCGCUCUUGGAGGGGGUCGCGGCUGAUUAGCUAGUUGGUGAGGUAACGGCUCACCAAGGCGAAGAUCGGUAUCCGGCCUGAGAGGGCGCACGGACACACUGGAACUGAAACACGGUCCAG
rnacentral:rRNA from 1 species